GGAUCCGUGGCGCAAUGGUAGCGCGUCUGACUCCAGAUUCAUGAAGGUUGCGUGUUCGAUUCACUGUUCGGGUUCA